UACGAAGGGGGCUAGCGUUGUUCGGAAUCACUGGGCGUAAAGGGCGCGUAGGCGGCUUUAUAAGUCCGCUGUAAAAGUCCAGGGCUCAACCCUGAAAAGCCGGUGGAUACUGUCGGGCUAGAGUCCGGAAGAGGCGAGUGGAAUUCCUGGUGUAGCGGUGGAAUGCGCAGAUAUCAGGAGGAACACCGAUAGCGAAGGCAGCUCGCUGGGACGGUACUGACGCUGAGGCGCGAAAGCGUGGGGAGCGAACAGG
rnacentral:rRNA from 1 species